AACGUAGGUACCGAGCGUUAUCCGGAUUUACUGGGCGUAAAGCGCGUUCAGGCGGUUUGGCAAGUCGGGCAUGAAAUCUCUCGGCUCAACCGGGAGAGGUUGUCCGAUACUUCCAGACUUGAGGGCAGUAGAGGGUGGUGGAAUUCACGGUGUAGCAGUGAAAUGCGUAGAUAUCGUGAGGAACACCAGAGGCGAAGGCGGCUACCUGGACAAUUGCUGACGCUCAGGCACGAAAGCGUGGGGAGCAAAAGGG
rnacentral:rRNA from 1 species